CCACUUCUGCCUGCGCUGGCCAGGACUCUCGCAUGCUGUGACAAAACAAGAAAACAGAAACCAACAACAAGCACCAGAAAAAGACCAACAAUUCCAUAUGUACGAGAAAAUUCCUAGGGAGGGAGGGAGGGAAAGUCAGGAUCCCUGCACUUUCUAAACGCUGACUGGUAAGUCCCCCCCCUCACUGUCCUUAUAACCUGCAG